CGCUGGCGGUAGGCUUAACACAUGCAAGUCGAGCGAGAAAGUAUCUUCGGAUGCGAGUAUAGCGGCGGACGGGUGAGUAACGCGUAGGAAUCUACCUAGUAGAAGGGGAUAGCCCGAGGAAACUCGGAUUAAUACCGUAUACCUCCUUUGGGAGAAAGAGGGCCUCUCUUGAUGCUCUCGCUAUUAGAUGAGCCUGCGUAAGAUUAGCUUGUUGGUAAGGUAAUGGCUUACCAAGGCUACGAUCUUUAGCUGGUCUGAGAGGACGAUCAGCCACAUUGGGACUGAGACACGGCCCAGACUCCUACGGGAGGCAGCAGUGGGGAAUAUUGGACAAUGGGCGCAAGCCUGAUCCAGCCAUACCGCGUGUGUGAAGAAGGCCUUCGGGUUGUAAAGCACUUUAAGCAGGGAGAAAAAGUUAUAAGUUAAUACCUUAUAGCCGUGAUGUUACCUGCAGAAUAAGCACCGGCUAAUUCCGUGCCAGCAGCCGCGGUAAUACGGAAGGUGCAAGCGUUAAUCGGAAUUACUGGGCGUAAAGCGCGCGUAGGUGGUUUGUUAAGUUGGAUGUGAAAGCCCUGGGCUCAACCUAGGAACUGCAUCCAAAACUAACUCACUAGAGUACGAUAGAGGGAGGUAGAAUUCAUAGUGUAGCGGUGGAAUGCGUAGAUAUUAUGAAGAAUACCAGUGGCGAAGGCGGCCUCCUGGAUCUGUACUGACACUAAGGUGCGAAAGCGUGGGUAGCGAACAGGAUUAGAUACCCUGGUAGUCCACGCCGUAAACGAUGACAACUAGCUGUUGGAAGACAAUGUCUUUCAGUGGCGCAGCUAACGUUUUAAGUUGUCCG
rnacentral:rRNA from 1 species